rnacentral:lncRNA from 1 species
CCCGGCCAUGGCGCCUCCCAUGUACCAUAUUUUUGCUCAUUUGGUUCAACAAGAAACUUAUCCCCAUUCGCCAUUCUUCUUCGCCAUUGACGAGCUGUUCCAGCGAAAUCUUGCUAGCAUCAACUGUGGAUUGAUUCCUGCUGCUCGUAGCAGAACCAAGAAUCUCCUCGUUUAAUUAGUUAUCGUUAUUAUAAUUAAACCCAAGAAAUGUUCGGCGGUGCCAACCUCGUUGCCUUGUGUGCUAAGCAAAAGCAUCUGCGCAAAGGCGCCGGGGUUCUGCAAAGCCAUCGUUAACCCUGCCCCCCCUGCUAUGCUGCUACUCAUAGUGGGGUUUGGUGACGGACAUGCAUCCAUCCAUCCACCCCCCCUGAAGGAUGAAAUCACGCAUGUGUAAGUGCAAUCUUUGUUNUGUUCUGUCGUUGUUGUUGUUGAUUGAUUUGAUUUAGCAAGUGAGAGUUGGAGCUGUUCGUGGCACCGAUAAGAUAAAGCCCCCGAGCUCCUAAAACAGGAAUUAAUCAUCACAUCGGCAACAACCAACGCGACGUGGCGGCAGAGCCGGUGCGAAUUUGACCCGAAAGUGGGAAGUUCCCGUGCCCAUCUUUCUUUUUUCUUCAAAAGGA